AGCGAAGUGGAGGAAGCUUGCUUCCGAAGCUUAGCGGCGGACGGGUGAGUAACACGUGGGUAACCUGCCUGACAGACUGGGACAACUCCUGGAAACGGGUGCUAAUACCAGAUAGGCUUCUAGGUCGCAUGACUUGGAAGGGAAAGAAGCUAUCGCUUCACUGUCAGAUGGACCCGCGGCGCAUUAGCUAGUUGGUGAGGUAACGGCUCACCAAGGCGACGAUGCGUAGCCGACCUGAGAGGGUGACCGGCCACACUGGGACUGAGACACGGCCCAGACUCCUACGGGAGGCAGCAGUAGGGAAUCUUCCACAAUGGGCGCAAGCCUGAUGGAGCAACGCCGCGUGAGUGAUGAAGGCCUUCGGGUUGUAAAACUCUGUCUUCUGUGACGAACAAGUAUGUGAGUGGAAAGCUCAUACCCUGACGGUAACAGAGGAGGAAGCCACGGCUAACUACGUG
rnacentral:rRNA from 1 species